UACGGAGGGUGCGAGCGUUGUCCGGAAUCAUUGGGCGUAAAGGGCGCGUAGGUGGCCCAGUAAGCGUGCGGUGAAAGCUCGGGGCUCAACUCCGAGUCGGCCGUGCGAACUGGGCUCACUGGAGCAUAGUAGAGGCAGGUGGAAUUCCGGGUGUAGCGGUGGAAUGCGUAGAGAUCCGGAAGAACACCGGUGGCGAAGGCGGCCUGCUGGGCUAUGGCUGACACUGAGGCGCGACAGCGUGGGGAGCAAACAGGG
rnacentral:rRNA from 1 species